ensembl:ncRNA C09G1.6 ncRNA
UUUUUUUUUUCGUCCACUCCCUCGUGCCUGUUAAGGGUUGAAGUGGUUCGGUUCGACCACACGGAGAAGUGAGGCAUGCUCUCGAGGAGCACUGGGAAUGCCUAUAUCUUUGAAAGUCUGAAGUCUGAAGAAAAACUGAAGCUCUUUGAAGCCGAUCUGAAAAUCUUUUGCAUCAUUUUCAAAUGGUGUCAGGCUGUCCUAAUACAGUUUGAUCUACAAAAUCG